AGUGAACGCUGGCGGUAGGCCUAGCACAUGCAAGUCGAACGGCAGCACAGUAAGAACUUGCUCUUACGGGUGGCGAGUAGCGGACGGGUGAGGAAUACAUCGGAAUCUACUUUUUCGUGGGGGAUAACGUAGGGAAACUUACGCUAAUACCGCAUACGACCUACGGGUGAAAGCAGGGGAUCUUCGGACCUUGCGCGAUUGAAUGAGCCGAUGUCGGAUUAGCUAGUUGGCGGGGUAAAGGCCCACCAAGGCGACGAUCCGUAGCUGGUCUGAGAGGAUGAUCAGCCACACUGGAACUGAGACACGGUCCAGACUCCUACGGGAGGCAGCAGUGGGGAAUAUUGGACAAUGGGCGCAAGCCUGAUCCAGCCAUACCGCGUGGGUGAAGAAGGCCUUCGGGUUGUAAAGCCCUUUUGUUGGGAAAGAAAAGCAGCAGGUUAAUACCCCGCUGUUCUGACGGUACCCAAAGAAUAAGCACCGGCUAACUUCGUG
rnacentral:rRNA from 1 species